rnacentral:rRNA from 1 species
UACGGAGGGUGCGAGCGUUAAUCGGAAUUACUGGGCGUAAAGGGUGCGUAGGCGGCCAGGUAAGUCAGGAGUGAAAGUUUGCGGCUCAACCGUAAAAUUGCUUUUGAUACUGCCAGGCUAGAAUUAGGAUGAGGUCAGCGGAAUGUGGCAUGUAGCGGUGAAAUGCAUAGAUAUGCCAUAGAACACCAAUUGCGAAGGCAGCUGGCUAGACCUGGAUUGACGCUGAGGCACGAAAGCGUGGGGAGCGAACAGG